CCUACGGGGGGCAGCAGUGAGGAAUAUUGGUCAAUGGACGAGAGUCUGAACCAGCCAAGUAGCGUGAGGGAUGACUGCCCUAUGGGUUGUAAACUUCUUUUAUAUGGGAAUAAAGUGUUCCACGUGUGGGAUUUUGUAUGUACCAUAUGAAUAAGGAUCGGCUAACUCCGUGCCAGCAGCCGCGGUAAUACGGAGGAUCCGAGCGUUAUCCGGAUUUAUUGGGUUUAAAGGGUGCGUAGGGGGAUUGUUAAGUCAGUUGUGAAAGUUUGCGGCUCAACCGUAAAAUUGCAGUUGAAACUGGCAGUCUUGAGUACGUGAGAGGUAGGCGGAAUUCGUGGUGUAGCGGUGAAAUGCUUAGAUAUCACGAAGAACUCCGAUUGCGAAGGCAGCUUACUGGACUGCAACUGACGCUGAGGCUCGAAAGUGUGGGUAUCAAACAGGAUUAGAUACCCGUGUAGUC
rnacentral:rRNA from 1 species